CGCCUGCCGGCGACCGGCGCACGGGUGAGUAACACGUAUGCGACCUGCCCCCGCAGGGGAUAACCGGGAGAAAUCCCGACUAAUACCGCGUAACGCCGCGGACCUGCAUGGGUCUGCGGCCAAAGGAAGCGAUUCCGGCGGGGGAUGGGCAUGCGGCGCAUUAGCUAGUCGGCGGGGUAACGGCCCACCGAGGCGACGAUGCGUAGGGGUUCUGAGAGGAAGGUCCCCCACAUUGGAACUGAGACACGGUCCAAACUCCUACGGAAGGCAGCAG
rnacentral:rRNA from 1 species